UACGAAGGGGCUAGCGUUGCUCGGAAUCACUGGGCGUAAAGGGUGCGUAGGCGGGUCGUUUAAGUCAGGGGUGAAAUCCUGGAGCUCAACUCCAGAACUGCCUUUGAUACUGAAGAUCUUGAGUUCGGGAGAGGUGAGUGGAACUGCGAGUGUAGAGGUGAAAUUCGUAGAUAUUCGCAAGAACACCAGUGGCGAAGGCGGCUCACUGGCCCGAUACUGACGCUGAGGCACGAAAGCGUGGGGAGCAAACAGG
rnacentral:rRNA from 1 species